rnacentral:lncRNA from 1 species
AUGCUGGGAAGCUCACCUACAUAGACACAAAAUACGUGGUACAUGUGAAGAGUUAGAGACAGAAGAAGAGCAACAGUAUCUCACCUCAAGCUAUAUUAACAUCUCCACUGAUUCAUUACAAGGUGGCAAGAAGUACUUGGUUUGGGUCCAAGCAGCAAACGCACUAGGCAUGGAAGAGUCAAAACAACUGCAAAUUCACCUGGAUGAUAUAGUUAAAGAAUUUGACACCAAUUUUACAUAUGUGCAACAGUCAGAAUUCUACUUGGAGCCAAACAUUAAGUACGUAUUUCAAGUGAGAUGUCAAGAAACAGGCAAAAGGUACUGGCAGCCUUGGAGUUCACUGUUUUUUCAUAAAACACCUGAAACAGUCCCCAGGUCACAUCAAAAGCAUUCCAACAUGACACAUGGAAUUCUGGGCUAACAGUUGCUUCCAUCUCUACAGGGCACCUUACUUCUGCAACAGAGGAGACAUUGGACUUUUAUUGGGAAUGAUCGUCUUUGCUGUUAUGUUGUCAAUUCUUUCUUUGAUUGGGAUAUUUAACAGAUCAUUCCGAACUGGAUUAAAAGAAGGAUCUUAUUGUUAAUACCAAAGUGGCUUUAUGAAGAUAUUCCUAAUAUGAAAAACAGCAAUGUUGUGAAAAUGCUACAGAAAAUAGUGAACUUAUGAAUAAUAAUUCCAGUGAGCAGGUCCUAUAUGUUGAUCCCAUGAUUACAGAGAUAAAAGAAAUCUUCAUCCCAGAACACAAGC